rnacentral:rRNA from 1 species
CCUUACCAGGGUUUGACAUACAAGUAGUAGGAAGGAAACUGGACGACCUUCGGGGAGCUUGUACAGGUGCUGCAUGGCUGUCGUCAGCUCGUGUCGUGAGAUGUUCGGUUAAGUCCGCUAACGAGCGCAACCCUCGCUGUGUGUUACAAGUGUCACACGGAACUGCCGGUCAUAACCGGAGGAAGGUGGGGAUGACGUCAAGUCAGCAUGGCCUUUAUAUCCCUGGGCUACACACACGCUACAAUGGGAAGGGACAAUAGGUUGCGAAGCCGCGAGGCGGAGCCAAUCCAGCAAAACUUCCCUCAGUUCAGAUUGCAGGCUGCAACUCGCCUGCAUGAAGUUGGAGUUGCUAGUAAACGCAGGCCAGCCAUACUGCGUUGAAUACGUUCCCGGGGCUU